CUUGAAUAUCAAAGGUGAGCCAGUACAGGAUGGACCCGCGUCUGAUUAGCUAGUUGGUAAGGUAACGGCUUACCAAGGCGACGAUCAGUAGCCGACCUGAGAGGGUGAUCGGCCACAUUGGAACUGAGACACGGUCCAAACUCCUACGGGAGGCAGCAGUGGGGAAUAUUGCACAAUGGGCGAAAGCCUGAUGCAGCAACGCCGCGUGAGUGAUGAAGGCCUUCGGGUCGUAAAACUCUGUCCUCAAGGAAGAUAAUGACGGUACUUGAGGAGGAAGCCCCGGCUAACUACGUGCCAGCAGCCGCGGUAAUACGUAGGGGGCUAGCGUUAUCCGGAUUUACUGGGCGUAAAGGGUGCGUAGGCGGUCUUUCAAGUCAGGAGUGAAAGGCUACGGCUCAACCGUAGUAAGCUCUUGAAACUGGGAGACUUGAGUGCAGGAGAGGAGAGUGGAAUUCCUAGUGUAGCGGUGAAAUGCGUAGAUAUUAGGAGGAACACCAGUUGCGAAGGCGGCUCUCUGGACUGUAACUGACGCUGAGGCACGAAAGCGUGGGGAGCAAACAGGAUUAGAUACCCUGGUAGUCCACGCUGUAAACGAUGAGUAC
rnacentral:rRNA from 1 species